GCAAGUCGAACGAACUUAACCUUUAGUUUACUAAUGGAGCGGUUAGUGGCGGACUGGUGAGUAACGCGUGAGCAACCUGCCUAUCAGAGGGGAACAACAGUUAGAAAUGACUGCUAAUACCGCAUAUGCCUAAGCAUCACAUGAUGCAAUAGGGGAAGGAGCAAUCCGCUGAUAGAUGGGCUCGCGUCUGAUUAGAUAGUUGGUGGGGUAACGGCCUACCAAGUCAACGAUCAGUAGCCGGACUGAGAGGUUCAACGGCCACAUUGGGACUGAGAUACGGCCCAGACUCCUACGGGAGGCAGCAGUCGGGAAUAUUGCGCAAUGGAGGAAACUCUGACGCCAGUGACGCCGCGUGCAGGAAGAAGGUUUUCGGAUUGUAAACUGCUUUAGACAGGGAAGAAAAAGACAGUACCUGUAGAAUAAGCUCCGGCUAACUACGUGCCAGCAGCAGC
rnacentral:rRNA from 1 species